GACGAACGCUGGCGGCGUGCUUAACACAUGCAAGUCGAGCGGUAAGGCCCCGUUUUGGGGGUACGACGAGCGGCGAACGGGUGAGUAACACGUGGGUGACCUGCCUUCCAGGCGUCUGGGAGUAAGACCUGGGAAACGUGGGUCUAAUACCGGAUAUGACCUUGCCUGCAUGGGUGGGGGUGGAAAGAUUUGUUUUGGCUGGGGAUGGGCCUGGCGGUCUAUCAGCUUGUUGGUGGGGUGA
rnacentral:rRNA from 1 species